GCAUGUCACGCAUCCGACCCACGGGCCGUCAUUUUGACAGGCCUAAUCUGUACUAACAGCAGUUUUGGCUUCAGAGAGGACAACAGAGGAUUGAACCUUGUAUGUGCCAAACAUGGGUCUACCAUAAGUUUCUCCCUCCCCCAAGCAGAACAGAUGAAUGGUGUGAGGAAGAGCAUGCAUUUACCAACCAUAUCCAACUUCUUUCAAGCCACCAUUAGUAGUUUAACUAAAACACAGUUGAGUGACAUUUCGUAUUUCAUUAACAUUUAAAUUGAAUCUUCGGAGAAAGGCGGCAUACAAGUUGAACAAAUAAAUAAAUUAAUGGAAAAUUCCCUAUA